GAAUAUGACUGGUCACUGGACGC
rnacentral:siRNA from 1 species